CCAUGGCCACGCGCCGUGCACCUGGGGCUGCUGCUGUUGCUGCUGAGCACGGGGCUGCACGCCCAGAGUCUCUGGGCCCUGGCGCACCAUCACCAUUGCCUCUGACAACCCCGCCCUGACCGCGGACGGCGGCCCCCUGCGGGUGCUGCUUGGAAACAUUCAGGGCGGCAACGCACUAACGAUCACCUUCUUCGUCAGGGAAAACGGGGUCUGCACCCUGCACAGUUGUGGCCCAGAGGAACGCGGACGGCGUCUAUGCAACUUUGAGGGCCAUAACUACUUCAAGUUCCUGGAGCAGGACAACGGCCACAUUGUCUUCCUCAGCUGAUGGCACAGUCAGCUGCAUCACCCUUGCCGCCGCCUGGGACCAGGAGCUGAGUGACGAGCACCUGGCGCGGUUCACGGCGCUGACAGAGGAGACUGGGAUUCCCAGGGAGAAUGUGGAUCGUGUGGCCGGCACGGCAGUGGCAGCCAUAUUGGAUUCUGGCAAAACUUCUCUGACAGAAACUCGAGGGCGUCCCUGUCAAGGAAAGUUGCCUUUCGGACCCAGGACCGAUUUCCUGACAGAAACUUGUAUGAGAAUUAAAAUGUUUU